rnacentral:rRNA from 1 species
GCUUAACGCGAAGAACCUUACCAGGUCUUGACAUCCUCUGACCAUCCUAGAGAUAGGACCCUUCCCCUUCGGGGACGAGAGUGACAGGUGGUGCAUGGUUGUCGUCAGCUCGUGUCGUGAGAUGUUGGGUUAAGUCCCGCAACGAGCGCAACCCUUGUUCUUAGUUGCCAGCAUUCAGUUGGGCACUCUAAGGAGACUGCCGGUGACAAACCGGAGGAAGGUGGGGAUGACGUCAAAUCAUCAUGCCCCUUAUGACCUGGGCUACACACGUGCUACAAUGGAUGGUACAAAGGGCUGCGAAGCCGCGAGGUGGAGCCAAUCCCAUAAAAACCAUUCUUAGUUCGGAUUGCAGGCUGCAACUCGCCUGCAUGAAGCCGGAAUCGCUAGUAAUCGCGGAUCAGCAUGCCGCGGUGAAUACGUUCCCGGGUCUUGUACACACCGGGGGUUCUUGUACACACCGGGGGUUCUUGGUACACACAGG